UGUUUGUAGGACAGUAGUUCAGGUGGCUGUUUGUCUUUGUAGGACAGUAGUUCAGGUGGCUGUUUGUCUUUGUAGGACAGUAGAUGCUGUUUGUCUUUGUAGGACAGUAGUUCAGGUGGCUGUUUGUCUGUUUGUCUUGUAGGACAGUAGUUCAGGUGUUUGUCUUGGACAGUUUGUCUUUGUCUUUGUAGGACAGUAGUUCAGGUGGCUGUUUGUCUUUGUAGGACAGUAGUUCAGGUGGCUGUUUGUGUAGAUGCUGUUUGUCUUUGUAGGACAGUAGUUCAGGUGGCUGUUUGUCUUUGUAGGACAGUAGUUCAGGUGGCUGUUUGUGUAGAUGCUCUUUGUCUUUGUAGGACAGUAGUUCAGGUGGCUGUUUGUGUAGAUGCUGUUUGUCUUUGUAGGACAGUAGUUCAGGUGGCUGCCCUUGCACUUAGUCUGCCUCCUGCCCCCCCAUCGUCAUGGUUACACCUUCCUGAAAACAAUGACUCCAUACUUUGCUGAAACCUGUUC
ensembl:lncRNA